rnacentral:rRNA from 1 species
UACGGAAGGCAGCAGUGGGGAAUAUUGCACAAUGGGCGAAAGCCUGAUGCAGCUAUGCCGCGUGUAUGAAGAAGGCCUUAGGGUUGUAAAGUACUUUCAUCGGGGAGGAAAAACAAAACUAAUAAUUUUAUUUCUUGACGUUACCCGAAAAAGAAGCACCGGCUAACUCCGUGCCAGCAGCCGCGGUAAUACGGAGGGUGCUAGCGUUAAUCAGAAUUACUGGGCGUAAAGAGCACGUAGGUGGUUUUUUUAAGUCAGAUGUGAAAUCCCUGGGCUUAACCUAGGAACUGCAUUUUGAAACUGAAAUACUAGAGUAUCGUAGAGGGAGGUAGAAUUCUAGGUGUAGCGGUGAAAUGCGUAGAUAUCUGGAGGAAUACCUGUGGCGAAAGCGGCCUCCUAAACGAAUACUGACACUGAGGUGCGAAAAGCGUGGGGAGCGAAACAGGGAUUAGAUACC